GAUGAAGAACGCAGCGAAACGCGAUAUGUAAUGUGAAUUGCAGAAUUCAGUGAAUCAUCGAAUCUUUGAACGCACAUGGCGCCUUCCAGUAUCCUGGGAGGCAUGCCUGUCCGAGCGUCGUUUCAACCCUCGAGCCCCCGUGGCCCGGCGUUGGGGAUCUGCCACGGCAGGCCCCUAAAACCAGUGGCGGACCCGAAGGCCCUCUCCUUUGCGCAGUAGCAUCAGCCUCGCAUUGGGAUCCCUCGGCGUCCUGCCUCUAAACCCCCCACAAGUCCGCUCCGGCGGCACCAAGGUUGACCUCGGAUCAGGUAGGAAUACCCGCUGAAUUUAAGCAUAUCAAUAAGCGGAGGA
rnacentral:misc_RNA from 1 species